AGUUUCACAAUGCGUCUGACAAUCAGAUGGCACUUGCAGAUAACACCCAAGCGACUGUUACCUUGUAAAAAACCGAUCAGCAAGUCUAAACGCGACGUGUGAACCACCCGAUGCGAUAAUCGCAUCCUAUACGAGAAUUCGCGAUUGGGUAAACGAAGAGGGCGGUUCGGCAGUGAAUAGAGAAUGUGUCGGUAAUCAGGUUGAAAUAUGCAUAUCAGUGACUAUAAAUUGACGGUAUCUGAAUUAACUGGUCAGUUUUCAGAGAAAAUUAAUGGGAUAAAAUUGAAGUUUGAUACAAAAUGACUUUAUCGUUGAACCCUGACAGUAGCAGCGGCACCAUAACGAUGUACAAAUAUAAUUUGUCAUUUCUUGGCGUAUGGCCCUUUCAAAAGAAGGGAAUACGUUACACGAUCCACUUGGGACUCAUCCUUCUUACUCAGGUGACGUUGGCCAUACCAGAGUACAUCGAUUUGGCACUGAACAUUGGAGACGUGGACAAAACGAUCGAGAAUCUCACCUGCGUCGUCACAGUGAACAUGGUGAUCGUCAAGCUGAUCAUUAUGCAUAUUCACAGGGACAGUAUGGUUUCGUGCGUGAAUUUGGUGGUGGCUGAUUGGGACAGGAUUCAAAGCGCCGAGGCUCGCAGGACGAUGAAGAGACACCGAUCUUGGAGCAAGGCUGUCUUUCUCGCCGCGAUGGCCUUGCUGUACGUCAGUUAUGCCUUGUACAUUGUCCUGGCGGUUACCGUGACGGCUACAUCCAACUGCAGUGGAAGUAACGCGAAUGGAUCGUGCAAAAUGCUUCCGAUUCGAGCUAAUUACGUGGUCAACACCGAUUUAUCACCGCUAUACGAAAUCGUUGUAGUCCUGCAGAGUGUCCAGGGAAUGAUCACAUGCACUGCAAACUACGGAGUUGAUACCUUUAUGUUUUUCCUUACGAUGCACGUUUGUGGACAGUUGGAAAUUCUUCAGAUUAAUUUGCGCCGCUUCGUGUCAGCAGAUGCUCCUCGGCCUAACAUUUUAGAUGCAAGAAUUUUUCGAAAGAAGAUACGCAUCUUAAGCGAACGUCACUGCGAACUAGUUGAUUUUUCCUUACAUAUCGAGGAAACUUUAAACGUCAUCAUACUUGGACUAUUACUCUUCAGUUCCGUCCUGAUCUGUCUAAUAGGGUUCCGGUUCAUUUUGAGCGUUGAAAACGGAGAUCUGUUUGGUGCAGGAAAGUACAUUUCGUACCUGACCGCGAUACUGGGGCAGUUGUUCCUCUACUGCUUCGCCGGUGACUACCUUCAGAGUCAGAGUCUCGGCCUGGCUUCCGCAGCCUACGAAACUCACUGGUACAACUUGCCCCCAGAUAUUGCCCGCGACCUUCUCUUCGCGAUGAUUCGCGCCAAGAACCCGUUACGUAUAUCGGCGGGAAAAUUCUUCUUCAUGACACUCGAGAGUUUCAAGGUCAUCUUGAAAACUUCAGCGUCUUACUUGUCCCUCCUCCGCGUUAUCGUGGAGCGAUCUGCUUACGAGCCGAAAUACUUCUGACGCCGGUAUUGCACUUGCAAGAUUGUACUGGGCGAUUGUUUCUUAUUCUCGUAGUCCCGUGAAUUACAGUAAUCUGAUCACAGUGUAUUUCAAGUGAUUGUAAUUGAUUAGUGUAGAAGAUAAAACACAAGUACAUUACGUCAGAGGUAAGACUGAAUGCCAUUGAUCUUAAUCCAGAUCAGUGUAAACGAAAAUAUUACGGACGUUGCAAAUGAUGAAGAUAAGCUCUAUAGGGACUCCGUACUAACAUGGCCAACAUUUGAUCACAUAACGGUAACGGAUCACGAAACUGAUUCAGCGCAUAUUUUACCCUCAAACUCUAAUGAUAUUUGAAGUGAGAACAAUGUAAUUUUGAAAAGACACGAUGUGUUUGGCUUGGGUGCCAUUUAUUCAGAGUAGGGUAGAAUUCAGAUUUAAGUUAUGUUUGAAAACAAAGAUUUUCUGCGUUAAUUUUUUGAAUUGGCAUAAAGUCUUUGCUAUUUUUGAUUACUGUUCACCGUAUUGUAUUUUCUAUUUCAAAUGCAAUGAAAAUACAUUGAUAAAUCGUUAUUUUGACUCGACAUUUGAAACCAAUGAUCUGGAAAAAGUGAGUUUACCAAUUUGCGAAACGAUUUUUUUGCAUGUCUACCGGUUUGGAAAGAGGAAAUUCAUUGUUUACUUACAUUCGAUAUUUUGAAUUUGACUAAUUAUUAACAAUGUUAAAUAAAAAUCCAGUGAUAUAUUUGUUUUGGCAACUUUUUCACAGAUUUCUUUCAUCCCGUGACGCCGAUAGAAGGCCGAGAGUUUUUGCUACUUGUGCAUGAUACUAGAACGUAGUUUCACUCCAAUUAUCGUUUUUCUCCGUUCUUAUUAUUGUUCCUGGAAUCUACGCCUCGCGAACAACGUAGUCCAGUCUUGUUAUUAA